ACUUUCAAUCUUCGGAAAUGUAGUCUGGAGAGGUAAUGUCAACCUACGAAACAAGUAAAGUCUUCUUGAAUGGAGCGCCAUGGAGGGUGAUAGCCCCGUUCGUGCUUGUUUUUACGGUGUACGACUUACCUUCUACGARUCGAGUUGCUUGGGAUUGCAGCUCUAAUUGGGUGGUAAAUUCCAUCUAAAGCUAAAUAUUGGUGGGAGACCGAUAGCGAACAAGUACCGUGAGGGAAAGAUGCAAAGAACUUUGAAAAGAGAGUGAAAUAGUACCUGAAAUUGCUGAAAUGGAACCGAUGGGAGACAGUGUUGGUGCGUUUUCACUUGUGAAGAUGUACAAGUCAAGCUUGAUUCGUUCUAUGGGAAAGGAUUCUUUUCAAGUUUGUAAAGUUUUCCGUCAUAGAAUUGAUUGACUUUGACAAAAUGUCUCUUAUCAUCCCGUCUUGAAACACGGACCAAGGAGUCUAACAUGUGUGCGAGUGCUCGGGGUAAACCCCCCUGCGCGGAAUUAACGUAAAAGUAGUUUUCUACUUUGGUGGGAACUUAGGUGCACCAUCGACCGACCAUGAUCCUUCGGGAGAAAGGUUUGAGUGUGAGCAUACAUGUUGGGACCCGAAAGAUGGUGAACUAUGCCUGAGUAGGGCGAAGCCAGGGGAAACUCUGGUGGAGGCCCGCAGCGAUUCU
rnacentral:rRNA from 1 species